AUACGGAGGGGGCAAGCGUUAUUCGGAUUUAUUGGGCGUAAAGGGCGCGUAGGCGGCUUGAUAAGUCAAAGGUGAAAUCCCUCGGCUCAACCGAGGAACUGCCUUUGAAACUGUCUGGCUAGAGUCCGGGAGAGGGUAGUGGAAUUCCCAGUGUAGCGGGGAAAUGCGUAGAUAUUGGGAGGAACACCAGUGGCGAAGGCGACUACCUGGACCGGUACUGACGCUGAGGCGCGAAAGCGUGGGGAGCAAACAGGAGUAGAAACCCCGGUAGUCC
rnacentral:rRNA from 1 species